CUUCUAUCGAGGCUAUGUGGCUUCACUGCUUACCUAUAUCCCAAACAGUGCUGUCUGGUGGCCCUUCUAUCACUUCUAUGCAGGUUGAGGGCAAGAACUCCAUCAUCCUGACCUUCAGACAGCUGAUGGCAGAAGAAGGGCCUUGGGGCCUCAUGAAGGGCCUCUCGGCCAGAAUCAUCUCAGCCACACCUUCCACCAUUGUCAUUGUGGUGGGCUAUGAGAGCCUCAAGAAACUCAGCCUCCGACCUGAGCUGGUGGACUCGAGACACUG
rnacentral:sRNA from 1 species